rfam:Oryza nivara chromosome 10, whole genome shotgun sequence.
AUCCCAUGGUGAGGACAAGCCAGGAUGUACUCCUAGAGUCUCUCCCACACCUCUGGAAACAACUCAUUAGUUUUUUGCUGGAAACAUGAAAUUCUUCCAUGAAGAG